GUCAGAAUGGCUGAGUGGUCUAAGGUGCCAGUCUCAAAAGAUGGAGGCGUGGGUUCAAAUCCCACUUCUGACA